rnacentral:rRNA from 1 species
CCUACGGGGGGCUGCAGUCGAGAAUCUUCGGCAAUGGGCGCAAGCCUGACCGAGCGACGCCGCGUGCGGGAUGAAGGUCUUCGGAUUGUAAACCGCUGUCGGAGGGGAUGAAGUGCAUGGGGGUACUCCCUCAUGUUUGACAGAGCCUCGGAGGAAGCACGGGCUAAGUUCGUGCCAGCAGCCGCGGUAAUACGAACUGUGCGAACGUUAUUCGGAAUCACUGGGCUUAAAGGGUGCGUAGGCGGCGGCUCAAGUCAGGUGUGAAAUCCCCCGGCUCAACCGGGGAACAGCGCUUGAAACUGGGUGGCUCGAGUGAGGCAGGGGUGCAUGGAACUUCCGGUGGAGCGGUGAAAUGUGUAGAGAUCGGAAGGAACGCCGGCGGCGAAAGCGGUGCACUGGGCCUUGUCUGACGCUGAGGCACGAAAGCUAGGGGAGUGAACGGGAUUAGAUACCCUAGUAGUC